CCUUGUGCUGUGUAGCUCUUGACACAGUUACAGCACUAUUUGUGGCAGUAUGCAAGGCUUGUUCAGUCUCCAUUUAAUUCAAGGUGUCAUCUGGUAUUGGAGUACAACAAGACGAUACUCUUCUAUCUCCCUCAAAUGCAAGUCUCAAUAAUACUGACUGGUCUCCCGUGGCGUUGCUUACAGCGACCACAGCGGGGAAACAGAAACAGUUCGGAGGCUGAAUAUUGCGAUGGAUGC